rnacentral:rRNA from 1 species
CUGACACAGGGAGGUAGUGACAAGAAAUAACAAUACAGGGCUACAUCUAGUCUUGUAAUUGGAAUGAGUACAAUUUACAUCUCUUCACGAGGAUCAAUUGGAGGGCAAGUCUGGUGCCAGCAGCCGCGGUAAUUCCAGCUCCAAUAGCGUAUAUUAAAGUUGUUGCAGUUAAAACGCUCGUAGUCGGAUUUCGGGGCGGGCCUGCCGGUUUGCCGAUGGGUAUAUACUGGUGGGUGCGUCCUUCCUUCCGGAGACCGCGCCUCCUCUUAACUGAGCGGGCGUGGGAGACGGAUCGUUUACUUUGAAAAAUCAGAGUGUUUCAAGCAGGCAUUUCGCUUUUGCAUGGAUUAGCAUGGGAUAAUGAAAUAGGACUUUGGUGCUAUUUUGUUGGUUUUCGAGCACCGAAGUAAUGAUUAACAGGGACAGUCAGGGGCACUCGUAUUCCGCAGAGAGAGGUGAAAUUCUCAGACCCGCGGAAGACGAACCACUGCGAAAGC